rnacentral:rRNA from 1 species
GACGAACGCUGGCGGCGCGCUUAACACAUGCAAGUCGAACGGAAAGGCCUGCUUUCCCUUGUGGAUUGCGGGUACUCGAGUGGCGAACGGGUGAGUAACACGUGAGUUAUCUGCCCCCAACUUGGGUAUAAGCCUGGGAAACUGGGUCUAAUUCCCGAUAGGACUGCAGGGUGGUGCCUGUGGUGGAAAACGAUUUUCUAGUGGUUGGGGAUGAGCUCGCGGCCUAUCAGCUUGUUGGUGGGGUAAUGGCCUACCAAGGCGGCGACGGGUAGCCGGCCUGAGAGGGUGGACGGCCACAUUGGGACUGAGAUACGGCCCAGACUCCUACGGGAGGCAGCAGUGGGGAAUAUUGGACAAUGGGCGGAAGCCUGAUGCAGCGACGCCGCGUGGGGGAUGACGGCCUUCGGGUUGUAAACUCCUUUCGACCGCGAGGAAGCCACCUGGUUGGAAGGGUGGUGACGGUAGUGGUAGAAGAAGCACCGGCUAACUACGUG